AGUGGACGCAUCACUGGUGUUCGGGUUGUCAUGCCAAUGGCACUGCCCGGUAGCUAAAUGCGGAAGAGAUAAGUGCUGAAAGCAUCUAAGCACGAAACUUGCCCCGAGAUGAGUUCUCCCUGACUCCCUGAGAGUCCUGAAGGAACGUUGAAGACGACGACGUUGAUAGGCCGGGUGUGUAAGCGCAGCGAUGCGUUGAGCUAACCGGUACUAAUGAACCGUGAGGCUUAACCUU
rnacentral:rRNA from 1 species